CCAAACAGGCAACAUCAAGGAGCUCUCUCUAUACUUGUCAAGAGCUGCGUAACCUCAGCAAGUUUUAAAUCUUCUCUUCAAGCAUCUUAUCCAAAUAUAUGGAGGCAUCUGCCACCAUUACGAGACAUGGACACAACAGCACACAAGAGCCUCAUCAUGAGAUCCAGAGUCUAUAUUUUGAGUUUGGCACUUUUGGGUGCCAAUUGCAUUUUAGCCGAUUGCUCUGAUAUACCCACCCAAAGGACCGGAAAAGCAAUGAGCCUCUUCAACAUUAUUCGAUUUGCUAACUCUGCUUGUCCUGGAUCUGGCAAUAGAAAUGGCACUUGCUACACUGAG